CUCACUCAAACACUCUCCCAACUCAUGCACUCUCUCACACACGUUCACACACAUGCAUAACGGCUCCAUAGAGGAGGAUGCUCAUCAGUAACAUAGACAUACCACAGACAUGAAAGAACGACAUAGGAUUCUCCUCUGCCUCACUAUUCUCUACCUUUGGAUUGUCCUAGUACAUGGUGAUGUGUUGGCCUCCCUGGCCCCACCAGUGCACCUGGCAGGUGAGAGGGUGGGCUGGACGCUGCUGGUGUGUGUCAUCACUGACCUGGGGAGGGGUCACUUGGAAGUCAGUUGGAGGUCACCUGGAGAUGUGAGUCCUGCCAGUGCUCCCUACAGUGUGGCCGGGGAGGAACAGAACAGUGGCCACAGUGCCGUGGC